CCCCCGCCUGGAGCUCAACUUGUCCUGGAAACCAAAGAGAGUCCCCAGCCAGUGCAGGGCUGAGCGCAGCUCCAAGGCACGCCUGUUUCGCCUUCUUUCCCUUUCCCUCGACUGCAUCAGUAUGGACCACGUUAUACCCAAUGGAAGGGAUCCACCAUAGUGCUAGAAAAGCCCCUCUGGAAACACCAGCCAGUGCCUUAAACACAGCAGCAGAGUCUGCCUUGAAGAUCCACCACCUCCCAAAUUCCUGAGAUUCCAAGUUGGAGGGCUGAGUUGUACCAAGGCAAUGUGGAUUUCUGUCCGGAGAUUACACAGAGAGAUCCAGUCCAGAUGCUGUGCAAGCCACCUCCCCUCAGCAGCGACUCAUUGCUCUGGAGUCCAGAGAACUGUUCUGUGCAACAUUGGCUCAGGUCCACUGGUCAGGAAGACAACGUUUCUGUAUAUAGGAUGUUACCUCCCUUGCCAGUUUUCCUGUCUGAAUGACUGACUGCACUUGUGAUCCCCCUUCUUUGAAGCAAGCUGCUUGAGCAGAUUGUCAAUUCUACGUAGACCACACACUAAAAGGGGGACUGGAAAAAUAGAAAUUGUCCCUGCAGCUUGGGAGUCCACGAUUGACAUUUUACGCAGAACAAUCUAACAUCUGAACCACAUCUACCAGUG